UUUUUUUUUUUUCCACAGCCUGUUUCCUUGGAGCUUGGUGGGAAAAGCCCUAUCGUUGUCUUUGAUGAUGUCGAAAUUGACAAAGCUGUGGAAUGGACUAUGUUUGGUUGUUUCUGGACAAACGGUCAGAUUUGCAGUGCGACAUCUCGACUUCUUGUGCAUG